AGUUGUAUUUAUUAGAUUCAAACCAACGCCUUGGGGCUUGUGGUGAUUCAUAAUAACUUUUCGAAUCGUAUUGCUUUAUGCAGACGAUGCUUCAUUCAAAUUUCUGCCCUAUCAAGUUUCGAUGGUGAGGUAGUGGCUUACCAUGCUUUUUACGGGUACGGGGAAUAAGGGUUCGAUUCCGGAGAGGAAGCCUGAGAAACGGCUACCACAUCCAAGGAAGGCAGCAGGCGCGCAAAUUACCCAAUCCCGAUUCGGGGAGGUAGUGACAAGAAAUAACAAUGCAGUACCCUUUGGGUAUCGCAAUUGGAAUGAGUGCGAUUUAGAAACUCGUACGAGUAACAAUUGGAGGGCAAGUCUGGUGCCAGCAGCCGAGGUAAUUCCAGCUCCAAUAGCGUAUAUUAAAAUUGUUGCAGUUAAAACGCUCGUAGUCGAAUUUAUGGAUUGAGACUAUGGUCUGCCUUUGUGGUACGCACUAUGGAUUCUUUUCUUUUGCCAGGAGUCUGGCCUAUUACUGUGAACAAAUUAGAGUGUUUAAAGCAAGCUUACGCUUGAAUACAUUAGCAUGGAAUAAUAAAA
rnacentral:rRNA from 1 species